rnacentral:rRNA from 4 species
ACGGGUGCGUAACGCGUGGGAAUCUGCCUUGGGGUUCGGAAUAACUCCCCGAAAGGGGUGCUAAUACCGGAUGAUGUCGAAAGACCAAAGAUUUAUCGCCCUGAGAUGAGCCCGCGUAAGAUUAGCUAGUUGGUGGGGUAAAGGCCUACCAAGGCGACGAUCUUUAGCUGGUCUGAGAGGAUGAUCAGCCACACUGGGACUGAGACACGGCCCAGACUCCUACGGGAGGCAGCAGUGGGGAAUAUUGGACAAUGGGCGAAAGCCUGAUCCAGCAAUGCCGCGUGAGUGAUGAAGGCCUUAGGGUUGUAAAGCUCUUUUACCCGGGAUGAUAAUGACAGUACCGGGAGAAUAAGCCCCGGCUAACUCCGUGCCAGCAGCCGCGGUAAUACGGAGGGGGCUAGCGUUAUUCGGAAUUACUGGGCGUAAAGCGCACGUAGGCGGCUUUGUAAGUCAGAGGUGAAAGCCUGGAGCUCAACUCCAGAACUGCCUUUGAGACUGCAUCGCUUGAAUCCAGGAGAGGUGAGUGGAAUUCCGAGUGUAGAGGUGAAAUUCGUAGA